AUGCUCCUAUAUGCUUUAUUUUUUAAGUUACCUAGGCUAUCCAGUGAAAAUGUACUUCCAUAACACAAGUUACUUACUUAUCUAGCUUUGCUUGCUGAUAUAAUCUAAUUAGAAAUUUGUUAUAACGUAACGUUAAUGGCCAGCUUGAUGGCUGUAGCUUUUAGUGCUAGCUCAUAUUAGCUGCCAAGUUACACACCAGCUAGUUUCUAGGUUGCGCACGUUAAUUUAGCUCACCUUUCACAGGGCUAAAUCCUGUCUAACUUGAGCUUUGUUAACGUUUCAUAACUUAACUCAAAAUUGCGUUUAAAAUGAGCUAAGUUAACUUCAUGUGUUUGCCUGCAAACAACAAAAGUUGGCUUGCGUGAGCUAGCGUUAGCUUGUUGGCUAACGAUAAUGUUAAUAGGAAAACUCGUUUUUUCUUAUUGAUCAUGGACUCGGGCGCUGUCCUUAAGAAAACCUAGGCUACUUUGGAUAAACAUCAUUUCGUUCUGGUAGGGGGCUGAUUUCACAUUGGUUAACGUUACCUGUCUUGGAUAACUUGAAUGUUAGCAGCUGAUAAGCUAAUUAACGUUAUAAUGAUAUUCCCUGUCAUAGCCCGAUGUGAGUCGUGCAUGCUCAGAUGUGUUUGUUGGUUCCAAAAAUGGACGUUUUGAACUUUGUUGACAAUAUUUAUACUUAAAACAAACUGCUUUGGGAUUAGUGCCCUUAUAUUUUGUAAAAGUUAGCGAGAAGUCGGCUAACUGGCCUACUAUGGGCUCUGCUAUGUGGCUGCACAAAAUAAGCAGGGAAGGAUUUUCGAUCAGCCGAUAUAAAAAGUCAGUUUUUGCAGACGUUUCCUGGUUCCAAAACCGGGCUUUUGCUAACUUUUAUCUAAUAUAAGGCCACAGAUCCCGAAGCUAUUUGUUUUAUGUGGACAUACCGCCGUCAACGAGUUCAUUGAGUGAUGAGGAAUGUUUCUUGGAGUAAGAUUUAACGAGAAAGGGCAGUAUUUGACUUGAUGUAAAUGCACAUUCCUUAAUGUGUUUUUGCCUCUUAUAACUGCUUUUUCACAUCUUUACAUGCUUCAUUGUGGAGCGGAGGUCUUUCUACCGGUCAAGUAUCAUUGCCUUGUCACAGGUCAUUCACCAGUGGCUCCAGUCUGGUUUGGGGGUCUACCCUUUCUCAUCCUGGCCUGCCAGCCAAGUAAAAAGAGAAAUAACUACAGACCUCUGCAACUGCUGAUACCGGUUCAGGAUGAAUUGCAGAUGCUGUGAGCGAGUCAGUGGUUCAACCAGCCAACAAACAGGAAAAGCUCAAGUCGGAGUCUUAACUGUCAGCAACUCUACCCAAAAAAAAAUCAGGCUACUGUUAUUGCCCACUAAGAAAAAAAACAGUGGUCUGGUAUGA